CGGAAAGAGUGAUGUCAUCCACUCCUUGCGGGGAAUGACGGAGGAAGCGGUCCAUGGGCCCACGCUGGCCUCCUCCACUUGGACCCGCCGCAGCAUGGACACAGGUGGCCGCUGCCCUGCAGGAACCGCUCCCGCGUGGCUUUGGGGCACCGCCCUGCCAGAUUCCCCCUGUCUCUGAUCUCAGGGCUGCAGCCCGCCCGGCUCCCCGGCUCUCCUCUCGGAAGUCUCGCACGCCCCCACGGCGGGCGUCAUCGUCACCGCGGAGCUCAGGACUCCCCGCGCCCAGUCUCGCCUGCGCUUCACACUCAGAGGCCCAAAUGCUCCGGAUGCCUCCAAAACGCUCACAACCAACAGGUCCAAAAUAGAAGUCAGGCUUCCUCCAGUGCACAGCCGCGCUGGAAGACGGCCUGGCAGUUUCUCAUAGAGUUAAACACGCUCACCAGACGACCCAGCCGUCCACACCUGGGUGUUUACCCAAGAGAAGCGAAAACUUAUGUUCACCC
rnacentral:lncRNA from 10 species